UGGGGAAUAUUGCACAAUGGAGGGAACUCUGAUGCAGCGACGCCGCGUGAGUGAUGAAGGACUUCGUUUCGUAAAACUCUGUUCUAUGGGAAGAAAAGGACUGUACCAUAGGAGAAAGCUCCGGCUAAAUACGUGCCAGCAGCCGCGGUAAUACGUAUGGAGCGAGCGUUGUCCGGAAUUAUUGGGCGUAAAGGGUGCGCAGGCGGCUUUACAAGUUGGAUGUGAAAUAUUGUGGCUCAACCACAAACGUGCAUCCAAAACUGCAAAGCUUAGGUUAAGGAGAGGUAAGUGGAAUUCCUGGUGUAGCGGUGGAAUGCGUAGAUAUCAGGAGGAAUACCGGUGGCGAAGGCGACUUACUGGACUUAAACUGACGCUCAGGCACGAAGGCGUGGGGAGCAAACAGG
rnacentral:rRNA from 1 species